rnacentral:rRNA from 1 species
AUGCUGGAGGUAUCAGAAGUGCGAAUGCUGACAUAAGUAACGAUAAAGCGGGUGAAAAGCCCGCUCGCCGGAAGACCAAGGGUUCCUGUCCAACGUUAAUCGGGGCAGGGUGAGUCGACCCCUAAGGCGAGGCCGAAAGGCGUAGUCGAUGGGAAACAGGUUAAUAUUCCUGUACUUGGUGUUACUGCGAAGGGGGGACGGAGAAGGCUAUGUUGGCCGGGCGACGGUUGUCCCGGUUUAAGCGUGUAGGCUGGUUUUCCAGGCAAAUCCGGAAAAUCAAGGCUGAGGCGUGAUGACGAGGCACUACGGUGCUGAAGCAACAAAUGCCCUGCUUCCAGGAAAAGCCUCUAAGCAUCAGGUAACAUCAAAUCGUACCCCAAACCGACACAGGUGGUCAGGUAGAGAAUACCAAGGCGCUUGAGAGAACUCGGGUGAAGGAACUAGGCAAAAUGGUGCCGUAACUUCGGGAGAAGGCACGCUGAUAUGUAGGUGAAGUCCCUCGCGGAUGGAGCUGAAAUCAGUCGAAGAUACCAGCUGGCUGCAACUGUUUAUUAAAAACACAGCACUGUGCAAACACGAAAGUGGACGUAUACGGUGUGACGCCUGCCCGGUGCCGGAAGGUUAAUUGAUGGGGUUAGCGCAAGCGAAGCUCUUGAUCGAAGCCCCGGUAAACGGCGGCCGUAACUAUAACGGUCCUAAGGUAGCGAAAUUCCUUGUCGGGUAAGUUCCGACCUGCACGAAUGGCGUAAUGAUGGCCAGGCUGUCUCCACCCGAGACUCAGUGAAAUUGAACUCGCUGUGAAGAUGCAGUGUACCCGCGGCAAGACGGAAAGACCCCGUGAACCUUUACUAUAGCUUGACACUGAACAUUGAGCCUUGAUGUGUAGGAUAGGUGGGAGGCUUUGAAGUGUGGACGCCAGUCUGCAUGGAGCCGACCUUGAAAUACCACCCUUUAAUGUUUGAUGUUCUAACGUUGACCCGUAAUCCGGGUUGCGGACAGUGUCUGGUGGGUAGUUUGACUGGGGCGGUCUCCUCCUAAAGAGUAACGGAGGAGCACGAAGGUUGGCUAAUCCUGGUCGGACAUCAGGAGGUUAGUGCAAUGGCAUAAGCCAGCUUGACUGCGAGCGUGACGGCGCGAGCAGGUGCGAAAGCAGGUCAUAGUGAUCCGGUGGUUCUGAAUGGAAGGGCCAUCGCUCAACGGAUAAAAGGUACUCCGGGGAUAACAGGCUGAUACCGCCCAAGAGUUCAUAUCGACGGCGGUGUUUGGCACCUCGAUGUCGGCUCAUCACAUCCUGGGGCUGAAGUAGGUCCCAAGGGUAUGGCUGUUCGCCAUUUAAAGUGGUACGCGAGCUGGGUUUAGAACGUCGUGAGACAGUUCGGUCCCUAUCUGCCGUGGGCGCUGGAGAACUGAGGGGGGCUGCUCCUAGUACGAGAGGACCGGAGUGGACGCAUCACUGGUGUUCGGGUUGUCAUGCCAAUGGCACUGCCCGGUAGCUAAAUGCGGAAGAGAUAAGUGCUGAAAGCAUCUAAGCACGAAACUUGCCCCGAGAUGAGUUCUCCCUGACUCCUUGA